rnacentral:rRNA from 1 species
UACGAAGGGGGCUAGCGUUGUUCGGAAUUACUGGGCGUAAAGCGUGCGCAGGCGGCUUCUCAAGUCAGGGGUGAAAGCCCAGAGCUCAACUCUGGAAUUGCCUUUGAGACUGAGUGGCUUGAGUACGAGAGAGGUGAGUGGAAUUCCCAGUGUAGAGGUGAAAAUUCGUAGAUAUUGGGAAGAACACCGGUGGCGAAGGCGGCUCACUGGCUCGUAACUGACGCUCAUGCACGACAGCGUGGGGAUCAAACAGG